rnacentral:rRNA from 1 species
CAGCAGCAGCCACGGGAAUACGAAGGGUGCAAGCGUUACUCGGAAUUACUGGGCGUAAAGCGUGCGUAGGUGGUGGUUUGAGUCCGUUGUGAAAGCCCUGGGCUCAACCUGGGAAUUGCAGUGGAUACUGGGUCACUAGAGUGUGGUAGAGGAUAGUGGAAUUUCCUGUGUAUCGGUGAAAUGCGUAGAGAUCGGAAGGAACAUCUGUGGCGAAGGCGACUAUCUGGGCCAACACUGACACUGAGGCACGAAAGCGUGGGGAGCAAACAGGAUUAGAUACCCGGGUAGUCCCUGUCUCUUAUAA